UGACAAAACCAGAGCCAACUACUUGGUACUAGACACUGACUACGUCAACUACAGUCUGGUCUAUUCCUGUUCCAGAUUAGCCAGUAUCUUUCCAAAAGUCGAGUUUGCUUGGAUACUGGGGCGUGUUCGCGGACAGAAACCAGCUCAGACUGACCAACUCAAAGCUUUGCUCACAAGUUAUAAAGUCAAUGUCAAAAACUUCAAAACUGUCGACUGGUCCAGUUGCUAGUAGAUGAUCGGUCCAGCUUCUAGAUGACUAGCCCAGCUGUUAGCUGACUGGUCCAGCUGUGUGAUGACUAGUCCAGCUGUAAGAGAUCCCUACGUCCAUUGUUCAUCAUAUUAUAUUUUUAAAAUCUUAAGUGUUCAUAGAAUGAACUUAUUUAUAUAUACAUAUAUAUAUAUAUACAUGUCUUUAUAAAAGUCUUUAUAUUGAAUUAUAUUGAAUAUUAAAAUUGAAGACUUAAA
rnacentral:sRNA from 1 species